rnacentral:piRNA from 1 species
UGCCUGUAGCUCUUUGUCUAGGGAUGAGGCC